rnacentral:rRNA from 1 species
UACGUAGGGUGCGAGCGUUGUCCGGAAUUAUUGGGCGUAAAGCGCUCGUAGGCGGCUUGUCGCGUCGGAUGUGAAAGCCCGGGGCUUAACUCCGGGUCUGCAUUCGAUACGGGCAGGCUAGAGUUCGGUAGGGGAGAUCGGAAUUCCUGGUGUAGCGGUGAAAUGCGCAGAUAUCAGGAGGAACACCGGUGGCGAAGGCGGAUCUCUGGGCCGAUACUGACGCUGAGGAGCGAAAGCGUGGGGAGCGAACAGG